rnacentral:rRNA from 1 species
CAGUCGCCGCGGUAAGACGAACCGUGCGAACGUUAUUCGGAAUUACUGGGCUUAAAGCGCGUGUAGGCGGGUCGGCACGUCGGUCGCUGAAAUCCCCCGGCUCAACCGGGGAAGUGGCGCCGAUACGGCCGGCCUGGAGGGGGGUAGGGGGGCCUGGAACUUCCGGUGGAGCGGUGAAAUGCGUUGAGAUCGGAAGGAACGCCCGUGGCGAAAGCGAGGCCCUGGACCCUUUCUGACGCUGAGACGCGAAAGCCAGGGGAGCGAACGGGAUUAGAUACCCCUGUAGUCCCUGUCUCUUAUA